UUACAAAAUUCAAAACCCUAAAGUUCCAAAUGAUCUCUGUCUCUCUCUCGUUAGCCUACACCGCCCCCAGUCUGCCUCGCUGCCUCCCCGGUCUGGAAAUCCUCCACCCCGCCCUCCUUCUCUUCUCCGGCGUCGUUGGCCGCGGUGCCUGGAUCAAGCGAAGUCCUGCCUCCAUUUCUCGUCAUAUCUCAACAGAUUCUCACCUCUCUCUUUCUCAUCCCUCAAUUUCUCAGUUCAUGCCCUAGAUCUUCUUCGAAAAUGUUGUCACCUCAUGGAUCUCCGCCGCGAUUAGCUCCGGCGGGGCUGGCUGUCGCCCCCUCUGAAAUUGGCGAGGUAAUCGCCGUCCUAUGUUCUCACCUACUCAUUCACACGCACAUGACGAAGACAAGGGUUGAGCCCUGACCUCUCGGCUCGACUGUUGUCGCUCUGUCUCACGAGCGCCUUCGCCGUCAGCGUUGGGUUCUGAAAUUGGCAAGGCUGUCGUGCUCUCCUCCCUGUGUUCAUCCGGCGGGUAAAGUAAGAAGAAGAAGAAGAGGCUUAAGUUCAAGAUUAAGGUCUCUAAUCCCUAUUUGAGGAGGUUAAUCAGCGGGGGGAUCGCGGGGGCGUUUCUAGGACUGCAGUGGCGCCGUUGGAGACGAUUAGGACUCAUUUGAUGGUUGGGAGCAGUGGGAAUUCGAGCACUGAGGUGUGGAAGGGGUUGUUUAGGGGCAAUUUUGUCAAUGUGAUUCGCGUUGAGCCUAGCAAAACCAUGGAGGUAUAUGAUUUAGAGGGAUUUUUUUGUCUAUAUAUAUAUUGUUUUCUAGUGUUGAUUGUGUAUAAUUUGAUGUAGUUUUUGCUUUGAGUUUAUUGCAAUGUGAUUGCUAGUGAAUGCUUUGUCCUUUCUAUUGUGUUGUUGUGAGGGAUGAAAAGGGUUGUUUAGGUGCAAUUUGGCUAUAUAUAUUGCUUUCUAUUGUUGAUUGUGUGUUUAUGUAGUUUUGUUGAAAGGCAAAGUACCAUUACUCAUUCUUCCUGCUGCUCUGGUAAUUUAUCGUGUUUGAUGUUCUACUUAUGUUAUGCACUCCAGCUGUGUGAAUAUGUAGUCAUAUCCCCCUCCAAAAAAGAAGUAGUCAUAUUCUUUGUAGAUUGAAAGAGAUUAAGAUUUUGUUUGUAUUUAAGAGAUAUCAGGGCCCCAUGGAGUCCAAUCAAAUGGAGACUUAAAUCGAGCCUAAUCUCCCAACUCUCUGCAAUCGACCGUGGUCUGAGCAUCCACCCAUGCUGCAAUCGACCGCUCGCUGAAGGUUAAGUCUUGUGAGAAAUCAAUGUUUAAUUGAUUAGCUACUAUCAAUUUAUGGUUUCCCUUGCUGAUUUUUGAAGUCUUGCAGCAACAAUUAACUCAUCUUCUCUUGCUGAUUUCUGCGUAUAUGGGUAAGAAUUAGGAGUUUUAUUGGCUGAGCUUUAAGGAGUAGAGUUAGUGGCUUGGAGCAUCCACCUAUGACAGAUUUCAAUUUCCUGUGAAUCACUUCAUCAUACCUCAAUGGCAUAUCCUUUCCAGGUCUUUUCAGGGCCAACUGACUUGAAUCUCUGAAAUAGAUGCUGAAGAACUUAGAUUCUCCAAUCAGAGUUGUUGAGGCUGCAGAGAAGGGAUACACACAUAUGUUUGAGAUUGCAGAGACAUGUUUUGGAGAGAUGGGGAGCCAUGUAGGAUAGUUGGAGGAGACUUGCAUUAUUUUCGAGUGCAUCCUGAGGUUUGUGGUGGAUUAAAUGAGCCGUACGUUGAGCUGAAGAGUCUUGUGAAUUAACAAGAAAAGUUGUACCGGAUGGCUAGCUAGUUGCAUAUUUAAUAUGUUUAGUAUUUUUGUAAGGAAUAAUAGUAUAGAUAAAGCAGUUGUUGAAUUUUGACUAUAUUCAAAUCUUGUAUGAAUUCUUUUUUAUGAUAAUAAUAUAAAAUUAAAUAUUUUGGAUGA